CACUCACACAAUCCAAUUUUUAAGAAGUCCAAUUAUUUUGAUGAUUUUCGAUUUCACCCAUUUCUCAAAGACAAGUGAAGAAUUCGUGGAAUUUAGGGGAUGGUGAAGUCAUGUUUUUAUUGUGUCUCUGCUUCUUUUUACUUUUUACUCAAGCCCCAUGGAGGACAGCUCUGAUCUUUAGAAUUAAGCACCACCAAGCUCUCCCAUUAAUAAAUUUAAUUUAAAUCUCUUAAUUUCUUGCUUAUGUUGUUCCAGAUAGGCAAUUAAAUGUGGAAGUAGUUUUGUGUUUUAAAGGGAAGUCUUAGAGGAUUUUCAGUAAAUGUCUAAUGAGUGUGGCUGUGUUGACAGUCUGUCUCUCAGUAGAUUGAUGAGACAGGGAAGGCUGGCUGCCUCGGGAGCAGAGCUUGUGGCGCUGUCCAGGCUCUGGGUGCUGAACAAUAUUGGGCGCAGAUGCUACAAACGUUGAAAAUUGCCACUGGCUUAAUUUUCACCACAGCCUCUAAAUCUGAAGGAUUGGCAGUGGUGCUCUUACUGUGGCAAUUCAUUGUCUAAAUCGCACCGCUGUUCAGAUCUAUCUCCCCUUACAUCCUGUGUCCAUGAAUGUCCCAGUGCUCAGAAACCUUCUUAAUCCCUGCCUUAGAUUUCAGUGCAGAGCUGUUUCUUCUUAGUUAGUCCUGGUAUUUGGAUCUCUACCUUCCUUGUUUGCACACUUUCACACUCUUUGUGGCUCUUACUGAUUUUAAAAAUUGAAACCAUGGCAUCAUGUUUUCUGCAAGAAUUGAAAUUUUAAGACUGUGAGAGUGAGAAAUGUGUGUCUUACACUUCUCUUAUAAGUUGAAUUCUGUUUAGGGAAAUACAGACUGGGAAUGCAGGAUUCCUAGCACAAGUUUUCUUGGUGAAGGCUGCUACCAGGAACCUUUCCCUGGGAAUAGUUAAUAGCUUUAACUAAAAAUAAAAUGAGAAGAAGAAAUAAAUAAGGAAAGACCACAUCCACUGGGAACUUUCUGAGCCCCUGAGUAGUUCCAGAAGAUUCAUAAAUUUCUGGUCCACUAAGAGAUCUUGAGUGUCUUCCUUUUCAGAGGGAAAUAGAAGCAUCAAUAACCAUUAGUGCACAUUUUGACUAUUUGGACCUUAUACACACAAAAAAUUAGAGGAAAUUACAAUUAAGUAGGAGUGUUUCCUGUUACUGUAAUUUGGGGCUUGUGUUUAAAUAAGCUGUUAGUUCUGCAUACUUUUUCAAAGGCAUAGUGUUUCUCAUUUUUAAUGCUAUCCUCACUUUUUGAGAUUUAAUUCUUCCUCCAAGAAUGAAACUUUUUCCUUAUUUCCUGGCUAGGAAUGAUCCACAGCUGCCUGUUUCCUCUUUAUUUCCUUCUAGCUUUAUAUUGCCUACUUUCAACAAAUGACAUUUCAUUUCUCAGUGUGUUAUGAUACAUCUGUUUGCUGGAGUAUCUACAUACCUGUAUUACAUGUUUGGUGACCACCUUCCCCAGCCCUCACACAAAGAGCCUGCGGUGAAUAAGAAGGAUAAUCUAGCAGAACCGCCUUUCUUAACAAACUUGCCCAAAGCUAUUGCCUACAGUGACUUUCCUGACUUCAACCUCUCUGCAAGUCAAAGGUGAACCCCAUUAAAAUCCUCACUUUUGCCUCCCAUUUGAAUUCUGAAAUGAGUUCAAUUUGGAAAAAUCUUAUAAAAUCUCCAAGACUACUUGUUUAAAAUUCACUGCUCAAUGCCCAACUUUAGUCAAGAGAGCCACCAUGUGGGGAGUUUUGAUGACUUCAAGAUCUGUUAAAGGAAGAAACCACAAACAGGAAAAUUAAGCAAGCCUUCAAGAGUGCCAGCUUGCUUCCAGCUCACUGGGGUUGUGCCAGUCUCGCUCAAUGGACCUCAAAGUUUGGUAGACUUCCCAGGCUGACCAUUUCUCUCCAGACUACAAAACCCAGGAAUGUUACAUUAGCUGGAAUCAUAUUAUCAUAGAAAAGAUGGAAGAGCCAGGAAAUCUUGGAAUGCAAGCUCUCACCACUGUCCUCCAACAGGCAGUGGCUGAAGACCAGUGAAGUGGGACUCAGUUUCCCAGUUGGCAUUUAGCAUCCGAACCAGGCUACUGUGAGCCCUUUUGGUGAACAAGCUUAAUACAGAACAUCAUCCUCCUUGGUGAAUGACAGAAGGAAGCCCAAAUGUUUUGCCACAGAACAUCAUGACCAUGGAUUACUUUGCUGCCUGCAUCAUUCACUUCUAAACUCACUGUGAAGUAAGGAGAGAUGAGCUUACCCGUAAUGUGUCAUGACUUCUCUGACCUUCAGAGUGGAAUGCCUCCCACUCUGAAAACAACCAGGAAAGGGAGCCUCUCCAAACCACAUGACUGUCUAUUGGUCAAAGUAAAAGAAACAGAUGGCAUCGCUGCUUCCUGGAAGGUCAUUAGCAACAACAGCAUGAACUGGAAAGACGUUUUGACUGUUGCUUGCUCAGCCUUACAGCCCUCUAAAACUACAAGAUGAUUCCUCCUGCAACGCAGUCUGCAACUUCAGGAAUUCCAUUUGCCAGAUGUAUGGGGGGGGAAAGUUUGUUAAAUAUUCAGAUGAAGCCUUGAGACUCCUAGAUUUUAUUGGACUCUUUUUGUUGUUGUGGGGUUUUAUUGUUUUUGAGACAGGGUCUUACUAUGUACUCCCAACUCCCUGGAACUCACUAUGUAGACCAGGCUGGCCUCAAAUUCAUAGAUAUCCACUUGCCACUUGCUUCCCAAGUGCUGGGGUUUAAAGUAUGUAGAACCACCAUACCUGGAUGGACUCUUCUUUACAGAAACUUUAGAUGUUUCACUAGCAGUGAGAUUUUGGAAUGGGAAAGAUCCUCAAGCCAACCUCAGUGGAUUUCUAAGAGACUUUUGGUCCUAUUUAUUUAUUUGCUUUUGCACAGGGUCUCACUAGCUAACUCUGACUGACUUAGAACUUGCAAUGUAAACCAGGCUGGCCUUGAAUUCAGAGAUCUGCCUGUCUCUGCUUCCUCAGUGUUAUGAUUAAAGGCAUCCUCUAACCCAAGAACCUUCAUUAGAUAAGACCUUGUAACCCAGACCAACCUUGAACUUCCUAUGUAUUGAAGGAUGACCUUGAGUCCCCGAUUCUCCUGCCUUCAUCUCCUAAAAUGCUGGGAUUCCAGGCAGUUAACAGGCUUUAGAUCCUUCUGACUUUGCCCUGCCCUCUCCCAGCUUUAAAAAAAAAAUGUAUCUCCUCCCCCCUCUGUGUGUGUCUGUGUGUGUGUGUGUGUGUGUGUGUGUGUGUGUGUGUGUGUGUGUGCUCACAAGAACCAAAAGAAGGCCUCAGAUCCCCUGGAGCUAGAGCAUAAGCAGUUGUGAGCUGCCUGAAAUGAGUACUAGGAACUUGGCUCCCAUGCAAGAGCUGCAAAUGCCCCUAACUAUUGAGUCCUUUCUCCAGUCUGUCUCCCAGAUUUCAAUAGUCCCUUAAUCCCUUAGUUUCUGGGAAAUGUAAGGCCUUCACUCCCCACUGUAGUGGGUAGCCAUUCCAGCUUUGAUCUGGAAGUUCCAACCCCCAUUGAGACUUCCGCAACUGUCACGCCUACAAGGCGGGGCCAAGGGAGGCGCCUGGAGACCUGAGAUCUGGAUGGGCUGCGCUCUCACUCGGUUCCGGGACCUUGGACGGUGAAGGUGGGCCAAGCAGAGCUCCAGAGAACACCGCUGGACUGCGAUACACCUUCCCCAGACCCCGCGACCUACCUAUCCCUUAACUUGUAAGGUACGCCAUUAAAUAAAUCUCCUUUUAACUACGUGGAGUGACCUUAAUAAUCUCACCAAUACCCCACACCUUUUUUUUUUUUUUUUUUAAGAAAAAAGGCUCUUUGCCACAUCUCUUAAUACUGAUCAACUGAGAAACUAGGCUUUCCACCUUUACAUAUUUUGAUGGGAGAAAGAUUAUGGGAAAUAGAAAGGAAAACUUUCUGCCCCUCCCUAAGAGAAGAGAAGAGGGCUGGAGUCGGUCGUACCUGUUUCCCUCUCCUCAACAAUCGAGCCUGGCUCCAAGAACAAACCAGAACAGCACCAAAGGACAGAUGCAAGAAUCUGUGUGAAAGACACUGAUGGAGAUGGAACCCAGGACCUCACCCAUGUUAGACAAGUGCUUCUACCACUGGACUACAUCACAGCCCCUCCCAAAGUUCCUGUAAAGGCAGGGUCCAGAAUAAAGACAGUCAGUGGAUAUAAAAAUAAAUGCCAUUUUAAAAAUUAUCUGGGUCAGUGAGAUGGCUCUUGCCCUCAGACGUGAUGUCCUGAGUUCAAUCCCCAGGACCUGCUUAGGGUAAUGAAAAGAGAGAACUGACUCUCACAAAUUGUCCUAUGACCUCCUCGUGUGUAGUAUGGUACAGAUGCAUGUACACAUAUGCACAUGUACACAUGAGUAAAUAAACAUAAUUUUAAUUUUUAAGAUUUGUUUAAUAUGUGUGUUGUGAGGGAGAGGGUGUACAUGAGUUCAGUCUUCCACAGAGGCUAGAGGCAUUGGAUCACCCUGGAGCUGGAGUCAUAGACAGUUUGAGCUACCUGACAUGGCCUCAUGAACUCAGGUCCUGUGCAAAAGCAGUUUAUGCUCCUAACCUCUGAGCCACCUCUCCAGACCCAUUAAAAACCAUUUUCAACUUUCUACAUUAAAAAAAAAAAUCCACAAGCCACUAAAAUCCCAGGUACUUGAGAGUCAGGGAGCCGGGGAAUCACAUGAGCUCAGAAGUUGGAGGCCAACCUGGGUAACACAGACCCCUUCUCAAGCAAGCAAGCAAACAAACAAACAAAAUCUAUAAAUACAUUUAAAUGAUACACAUAUAAACUUUGAGACAAUAUUGGCAUCAUUUGUGAAAAUAUAAGGCAUUCAAGAUUGCAACAUAAAGGAAUGUUUAUUUAUAAAGAAAAUGCAGUCACACUAAAUGUGAAGUUGGUGGUUGGCAGUGGUGGCGCAGGCCUUUAAUCCCAGCACUCAGCAGGCAGAGGCAGGAAAAUCUCUGAGUUUGAGGCAAGCCUAGUCUACAGAAUGAGUUUCAGGACAUCCAGAACUACACAGGAAACCCUGUCUUGAAAUUUUUUUUAAAAAAGUGAAGUUGGUAAAGAGCAUAAGUAAGCAAUUUCAAAACUAGAAACAUGACUGGGCCAGAAGAUUUAUGAAAAUACUUCAAGAGAAUUUUUUCUUUUUUCCAAAUGCAUGGGCAGUUGUGUUAAUUACCUACUCCUCUUUGGAAACCACAUAAUAGGGCUUAUUUACUUGAUAAUUGUGUACUUUAUAUUUGCUCCUUUGGUCAAUUAGAGGUAACACAAUGAUUACAUAAAUACAAAUAACAAUACCUGUUUUCUCUUGCAGUUCUAAGAGUUGAACUGAUUGACUUGAGCACACUAGGCAAGCACAGAUAUAUCACAUUAUAAAUCUGGGGAGGAUUCAUUUUCUUCUACUAUGUCCUGUUGUCAAACAUACGCUCAAACACUGCUGAGGAGUAGGUAUUGAUCCAGCCUAUCCAGAGGACAGGUUGUCAAUUGUGCAUAAAUUAAACUCACUGAUUUACUGCUGGGGAUUUAUGCUGGGGAAAUAAGCAAGCAUGAACCAGCCCAAAGAUUAACUGCAACCCUAUUCAUAGCACCAUUGAUUAUAACACAAAACCUUUGAAAAAUAAAAAAAAAAAACUAAGAGGGUGUCUUUUAAGAGGGAAUUCAUUCAACUUCUCUUAGUGUAGCUCUUCAAAGAUGCAUAAUUUCCACUAUGAAAUUAAAUGAUUUUGUAGAAAAGUCCUUAGUGAUGAGAAGGUAUUUAUAAUAUGUCAUCAAAUAAAAAGAGUGGGUUAUAAACCCCAAUAUUUAGUAGAAUACCAAACUUGUAAAAAACACAACACAUUUAUAGCUAUACAUCUGGGCAAUGCAUAAUAAAAACAUCCAUUGUUAGUGUUGGGAAUUAUGGAAAGGAACCUGUGCUGUAUUAAUUUUCUUUUCAUGCUUUUCCAUUUUUUCUGAGUUUUUAAAUGAGUGUUUUUGUGAUUCUUCUUUUUUGCUUUGUUCCAAUUACUUGCAUUCUUGUUUUAAGAUUCAUUUUAAAAUACAUGUGUAAUGUGUGACUUUUCCUUGAUACCUGUUCAAUAAAGGUGUACUUUCUCUUUUGUUAAAAUUUCCUUUGUUUAUAUGGAACUUAAAUAGUUGGGGUUGUACUUCCUUAGUGCCACCCUUUGACCUCGAACUGGAAGGAAAGCUAGAAGUAAACCAUAUCAGAGGCAAAAAGAAGAGAAUCAAACCAACCAUUAAGGGAGCCAGCUGAGCUGUAGCGGGUUCAAAAAGAGACCAGAGAGGAAGAGUCAAGCAGCAUUACCGUCAGCCAUUACUAGCACACAGACUAAAUUACCUUGUGUUUAAGUCAUUGUCGAUGAGAUUAAUUGAAUGUGUUGAAUGAAAUUUGUGCUGCAUGAAGUUGAACUGUAUCUUGGAAA